rnacentral:tRNA from 1 species
UCCCUGGUGGCUCAGUGGUAAAGAAUUUGCCUGCCAAGCAGGAGACGUGGGUUCGAUCCCUAGCCUGGGAC